GAUGAACGCUAGCUACAGGCUUAACACAUGCAAGUCGAGGGGAAACGGCAUUAAGUGCUUGCACUUUUUGGACGUCGACCGGCGCACGGGUGAGUAACGCGUAUCCAACCUUCCCAUGACUAAGGGAUAACCUGCCGAAAGGCAGACUAAUACCUUAUGGUCUUCACUGACGGCAUCAGAUGUGAAGUAAAGAUUUAUCGGUUAUGGAUGGGGAAGCGUCUGAUUAGCUUGUUGGCGGGGUAACGGCCCACCAAGGCAACGAUCAGUAGGGGUUCUGAGAGGAAGGUCCCCCACAUUGGAACUGAGACACGGUCCAAACUCCUACGGGAGGCAGCAGUGAGGAAUAUUGGUCAAUGGGCGAGAGCCUGAACCAGCCAAGUAGCGUGCAGGAUGACGGCCCUAUGGGUUGUAAACUGCUUUUGUAUGGGGAUAAAGUCAAUCACGUGUGAUUGUUUGCAGGUACCAUACGAAUAAGGACCGGCUAAUUCCGUG
rnacentral:rRNA from 1 species